UCAAAUUUUAGCAGACGAUAUUUUCAAGGGAAAAUCAAUACACAAAAGGUUAAGCUUCAGUUUUAUAAACAUCCGGGAUAUUGUUAACUAAAAGAAAGAUGCACAAUUGAAGUAUUGAAAUGACCCUAUUGAAAUAUGCGGGAGAUGCGUAUACAUCAAGUAGUGUAUAGGAUCAGCCAGAUGUGUUUAUAUCUGCUAUUGAGCUAUGUCGGCCUAUCUCGUAUACAUGCGCUAAAGGGUUAAGAUAUAACACCACCUGUUUGUUUGUUUACCAUCAUUGCGACAUACUCUUUGUGUUGUUGAGAACUAAACUGGAUUGAAAUAAUGAAGGUGUUGAGUACCGUCAAAAAGUUACAUCAUCAGAUCUGGUUUCGGACAGCAUUACCCAGCCUCCACCUCCACGACUAACAUGAAAUGUGAUUGUAAUUCCUUCAUACACAAUCUGAUUAAAAAAGAGCAUGUGAAGACAUCAACGAGCAUGCAGGCAGUAUAGUCGCCCCGCAUCUGGCCCAAUUGUCUUUUUUGUAUUUUUUGUAAAUAAAUUUAUAUCAGUUUGGA